rnacentral:tRNA from 1 species
AAGGGAGACCUAAUUCCGGUAGGAGACGAAAAAAAAGUAGUCCCAACCAAGAAUCAAUCCCAAAAGGUCGGAACGAGGUAUGAGGCUUUCAAACUAGGUUCUGGGUUCAUAAAAGACCUGAAUCAGGAACAAGGGCUAUUAGCUCAGGUGGUUAGAGCGCACCCCUGAUAAGGGUGAGGUCCCUGGUUCGAGUCCAGGAUGGCCCACCUGCACAGGUGGCAAAAACAAGAGAAGCUCCGAAUCAGCACCUUAUCUUAUAUACAUAUAUAAGAGAGAAUGCUGGCUCUGAGUACAGAGUCCAGAGGAACCUUGAAGACUGCAUAGAGCUAGGUGAAAAAGCCAAAAAAGAAGACCGCAA